CUAUGGCUGCCGAUGGUCGGGCCAACUAGCGAAUUGAUAACGUCGGCCGACCUAUGGUCGACUAAGUCGGGCCAACUAUGGGUACCAUAGUUGGGCCGACCUUGGCUGCCGACCAUCCAACUUGACGGUCGGCAGCCAUAGUCGGCCCGACUAUGGCUGCCAUGGUUGGGCCAACCUUGGCAGCUAAAAUUUUGCCGACCAUAAACAUUAAAAUAUAAAAAUUUGUUAUACAAAUAACAUAUAUUAGUAAUCAUUUUAAAUUCAUUAUACAUUUAUUUUAUAUACUUAAACACUAAACGCAAUCGUAAACAUACAUAUAUACAAAUUAAAAUUUUUAACGCUCGCAGGGAUCGAACUCGCAACCUAACGCACCGCAGUCUAAUACGCUAACCACUACACUACGCAAUGACAUAUGAGUCACGGAGAAAAAUAAAUGUUAUAAGCUACAGCUUGAAAAAAAUUAAAGUUAGUAAUUCAAAAUAAUAAAUUAAUCACAUAUAACCUUUUUUCUUUUUAAAUUAAUCAAUUACAAGUAAAUUAACAAAAACAUUUUACAUUUGUCAAUGGUAGGAGAGAAAUUUACUUUAUGAUGGUCGGCCCAACUAUGGCAGCCAAGGUUGGACCGACCUUGGCUGCCAAGGUCGUACCGACCAUUGUCCCCCAUGGUCGGCCCAACUAUGGCAGCCAAGGUUGGCCCAACUAUGGCUGCCAAGGUUGUGCCAACCAUUUUCCCCUUAGUCGGCCCAACUGUGGCUGCCAAGGUUGGCCCAACUAUGGCUGCCAAGGUUGUGCCGACCAUAAUCCCCCAUAGUCGGCCCAACUAUGGCUGCAAUGGUCGGCCCAACUGUGACUGCCGACGUCGGCAGCCAUAGUCGGCCCAACUUUGGGUGCAAAUAUUUACCAUGGUCGGCCCAACUCUGGCUGCCGACCGGUCGGCAGCCAGAGUU